GAUACGGCCCUCCCACUUCCUGUCCCAACCCUGCCCCCCACAACUGACUGCUUCCUCCCAGACUCAGUUUCCUUCUCUGCGAGGAGCGGUGACUACGCUCCACCCUCGGGGUGUGUUGCGCGGGGGGGAUGGGGUGGUGGUGACCCUGCACCGGGCACACAGUCGGCGCAGAAUUAAUGCGGGGCCUCUGGAGCAGGGUAUGUCUGUGUCCCGCCGGCAUCCCUGGUCCUGGAAGACACCGGACAAGGGUACGGAUCCCCUGAGACUCGACUUACAGACAGUUGUGAGCUACCAUGUUAGUGCCGGCAUCAAACUACGUCCUCUGGAGGAGCAGCCAGUGCUCUUAACCCUCAUCGGCCACAGCGUGGAACUGUUCAACACAAUAGUCUAUGCUGUUCUGAGAGUCGCUUGGAUGACCCUGACCAAGUACUGAAAGGCGGCUUCUCGGUGACCAGUCCUGGGUUUGGUUAAUUUCCUUUAAGAUGUAUGGAUCUAGACAGUAUCCCAGAGUGCAGAGGUACCACGUUUCCAUUAUCAUUUUCUUUGGGUGAAGGACAUUUAGGUUGUUUCCAUUUCUUAGCCGUUGUGAACUGCGCAGCAAUGAUGGCUGAGCAAGUGUCUGUGAGUGGGGCGUUCAGUCCUAUGAGCACACGCCAAGGAGUGGUAUAGCUGGGUGGGUCCUGUGGGAGAUUUAUUUUUAGCUUUUUGAGACUUUUCUGCACUGAUUUCUGUCUUAGCUACAGCAGUUUGCAAUCCCACCAACCGAGAACGAGGACCCUUUUCCUCCGGGAUCUCCUCAAGCAUGUGUGGUCCAGUGUUCUGUUGAUCUUUGCCUCUGACUAGGGGUCAGAGGUUAAAAGUGAGUCCAUAUUGCUGAAGACACUGCACAUUCAGGACAAAGGAUUCGGGCGGUUUGAACUGGAUCUGCCCUGGAGGCUUUGUUCCAGCAACCUAGCUUCCAUGGUUCCAGAAAAUGCUAUGUCAGUUGUCAAGUUCGGGAAGCAAUUAAGCAGUCCCACCUGGCCAAGACAGACAGGAACCACGACAGUGACCAGCACGGCAUGAUAUCCUUAAAGGUGCAGGAAGUGGCACCCACAUGUCUGUGGCAACCCACAGCUGUCUAAUUGUACCUAAGGGCCACUCCAGAAGAGGGGAAACCGGGCGUGGCCCUGGAAUCCCAGACAGCUUCCCAAGGCCAGUGAGAUCAUGCAUCUUAGAAGAGAAUCCACUACCAGCACUUUGCUAGACCAGCAUAAUUCUUAACUACCUUCUAAAUCUUAUCCUUGUACCUAUAGGUGAGUGUAGCCAGCACCCCUCAUCAAAGAAGACUCUCUCAGCAUGGUGGCGCACGCCUUUAAUUUCAGCGCUGGAGAGGCAGAGGCAGGUGGACCUCUGUGAGUUCAAGGCCAGCCUGGUCCACAGAGCGAGUUCCAGGACAGUCAGGGCUACACAGAGAAACCCUGUCUGGGGGAGGGGGGACACUCAUUACAGCAAAUGGAGACCAUCAAAUAAAAUGACAGCUGAACACAAUGUAGAGGGUAUCCCGGCUCCAACAUCGAGGUAGACACACCGGAAGAUGGGGUACAAAGAUUGUGGGAGCCAGAAUACCAGGAAGUCCGCUGUGAAACAGUCUGUCCUAGAAAAGGCUGCAUAAACAAGGUGGGAACAAUGGCAAUAGCAACGGACAUGCUAACACAGAAAAACUUCGUGAGGUUCCCACCCCUGGACAAGGAGCUGCAGGAAAGGAGUGACUGCGGGGGGUGGGGGGAGAGGUAGCCUCUCCCAGGGUGUCCAUACAGAGUGGUCAGCUCCGAACCCACUGAACACACCAAAACAGACUGAGCAGGUUGUAUAUAUAUAUAUAUAUAGUUUGUUUGUUUGGGACAGGGUUUCUCUAUGUAGUUUUGCGCCUGUCCUGGAUCUUACUCUGUAGACCAGGUUGGCCUCAAACUCACAUGGAUCCGCCUGCCUCUGCCUCCUGAGUGCUGGGAUUAAAGGUGGUGUGAAUUACCACUUGAUACUUGACUUUUUUUUUUUAAGAAAGAAAAAAAACCAUAAAGUUGGGUGUAUAGGGAAGUGGAGAGGGUCUAGGAGGAGUGGGGAGAUGGGAAAAACAUGAUCAAAAUAGAGUAUAUGAAAAAAUAUUAAAAAUAGCCAGGCGGUGGUGGCGCACGCCUUUAAUCCCAGCUCUUGAGAGGCAGAGGCAGGCGGAUCUCUGUGAGUUCAAGGCCAGCCUGGGCUACAGAGCGAGUUCCAGGACAGCC